UACUAUGGUCACACACUCGUACUCUCCUGGGCUACAGCUGUGAAUAUGAAGUACACCAACAGACAAGUAUCCCAGAGGCCAUUCAAUUUGCAUGGGGAGGAAACAGCUUUUGGAAUGAUUAGUAUUCAUUGACAGCUAAUUACUAUAGUUAAGUGACAGAACGGUGUUUUAUGAGAUAGUGCUCGUAAUCAGGUUUCUGUAGCCCAGUUUGACCCAUAUAUACUUAGGGAUUAUCUCAUGAAUCCAUCUUCUUCCACUGAAAUAAAUUAAGGAUUAGUUUUCACCUGUCCCAACUAUAAACAGAUUUAACUUCAAAAAAUAUAAAACAUUUCUACAUAAAUGGGAAAGCAAGGAUAAAACAGCAAUUAUUUCACUUAGCUCUGCUAAGCAUACUACUUUUCUUCAGAUAAAGGGCUUCUGCAAAGGGCUUUGAAUUACGUGAGGAUAUUUAAGAAUCCCUAUUCCUGUUAAUUCCUAUUAUUUAAACCAGAUACUAUUCCUCCUCUAAUUCGACACAUGAAUCCAGAUAUCUCGUCAACCAGACAAUUAAAAUUCCUAAACAGAUACUAAUUUUGAAGUCACUAUUUUGUCCCAGGGUAUUAAUUGGAAGUGUAUGUAACUUCUGAAUCUUCCAUUUACUAAUGAGCUAAAAUAAUUUUAUAGAAAAUAUUCUCUUAUAGCAUAACCUUUCUGUUGAAUAUUUUUAGAAUUAACACUAGACAUCUAAUUUUUUUUUAAAAGGGAGUCCCAAAACAUGAAAUAAAUAUGCUAAUAUUAUAAAAAGUCUGGAUCCAAAUUACCUGAAGGAGAGCCAUGUGCUGAGGUCAUACUUUUGACUUUGGAGUCUGAUAGUCGAGAGAUACUGUUAGCUCUAAUUCUAGGAGAAAAUUUAUCUGAAGGUACUAAUCUGGCUCCACUUCUAAUGAUGGCUUCUGCAGUCCUCGAAGAGGCACUACUUCUAGAGAUCGUUGCCUCAGAGUCACUGCGAGCUGAUAAUGAGCCAAGCCUUGUUCGACGAGGCUGAGCCAAUAAAUCAAUCCUAGAGAUGUUACGCCUUCCUGUGGGGGGCUUUGACGUGGAACUGGUUGUGGACACUUCAGAAGCAACGGAUGCUUUGUCAGCAUCAGCCAGUUCACUGUCGGACACUUCGCCAAGUCGUGCUCUGCGCAAGAGGGAAGUCCUGGUAGGUCGCGGCCUUGGAAGAGUGGUUGAUUUACUGGAUGAUCCAGGUGCUACAGGAGAAGUCUUAGAUUUAGUUACUUUACUUCCUUCCAGUUUGGAAUGUGCAUGCUCAUCAGUUGAGCUCGGAACAGGGGUAGGAGCAGAGGAACAAGCAGACUCCCUCCUGAGCGCAGAGCCUACUGUGGAGCAUCUGAUCCUAAGACCCUGAGACCAUGACCUGAGCUGAAUUAAGAGUCAGAAGCUUCGUCAACUGAGCCUCCCAGGGCAGCCCCAGUGGCGCAGCAGUUUAGCGCCGCCUGUAGCUCGGGGUGUGAUCCUGGAG